UGGGGAAUUUUGGACAAUGGGGGAAACCCUGAUCCAGCCAUCCCGCGUGUGCGAUGAAGGCCUUCGGGUUGUAAAGCACUUUUGGCAGGAAAGAAACGUCGCGGGUUAAUACCCCGCGGAACUGACGGUACCUGCAGAAUAAGCACCGGCUAACUACGUGCCAGCAGCCGCGGUAAUACGUAGGGUGCAAGCGUUAAUCGGAAUUACUGGGCGUAAAGCGUGCGCAGGCGGUUCGGAAAGAAAGAUGUGAAAUCCCAGAGCUUAACUUUGGAACUGCAUUUUUAACUACCGGGCUAGAGUGUGUCAGAGGGAGGUGGAAUUCCGCGUGUAGCAGUGAAAUGCGUAGAUAUGCGGAGGAACACCGAUGGCGAAGGCAGCCUCCUGGGAUAACACUGACGCUCAUGCACGAAAGCGUGGGGAGCAAACAGGAUUAGAUACCCUGGUAGUCCACGCCCUAAACGAUGUCAACUAGCUGUUGGGGUCUUCGGACCUUGGUAGCGCAGCUAACGCGUGAAGCUGACCGCCUGGGGAGUNCGGUCGCAAGAUUAAAACUCAAAUAGGAAAUGGACGGGGGUCGAUANCU
rnacentral:rRNA from 1 species